UACGGAGGGUGCAAGCGUUGUCCGGAAUCACUGGGCGUAAAGGGCGCGUAGGCGGCUCAUGAAGGCUGUGGUGAAAGUCCGGGGCUCAACCUCGGAUCGGCCGUGGCGACUCGUGGGCUGGAGCACUGUAGAGGCGGGUGGAAUUCCGGGUGUAGCGGUGGAAUGCGUAGAGAUCCGGAAGAAUCACCAGUGGCGAAGGCGGCCCGCUGGGCAGUGGCUGACGCUGAGGCGCGACAGCGUGGGGAGCAAACAGG
rnacentral:rRNA from 1 species